rnacentral:rRNA from 1 species
CGCCUGUUUAUCAAAAACAUGUCUUUUUGUUAAUUAUUUAAGGUUUGGCCUGCUCCAUGAGUUAAAUUAAAUAGCCGCAGUAUUUUGACUGUGCAAAGGUAGCAUAAUCAUUAGUUUUUUAAUUGAAAGCUGGAAUGAAGGGUCGGAUGAGAAAGUUUCUGUCUCAAUAGUAUUUUAUUUGAAUUUUAUUUUUAAGUUAAAAAGCUUGGAUUUUAUAAAAAGACGAGAAGACCCUAUAGAGUUUAAUAGGUUUAUAUUGCAAUUAUUUUUGGGUAUUAAUUUAAUUGUUUUAUAAUUUAUUUGGUUGGGGUGACUUAAGAAUUAGAUUAACUUCUUAAUGUAUUUACAUUGAUUAAUGAAUAGUUGAUCCUUUAGUUAGGAUUAAAAGAAUAAAUUACCUUAGGGAUAACAGCGUAAUCUUUUUAGAGAGUUCUUAUCGAUAAAAGGGAUUGCGACCUCGAUGUUGGAUUAAAGUUAAAUUUUGGUGCAAAAGCUAGGAAUUUG